AGGUGACUGCGGAGGGAUCAUUACACAAAUAUGAAGGCGGGCUGGAACCUCUCGGGGUUACAGCCUUGCUGAAUUAUUCACCCUUGUCUUUUGCGUACUUCUUGUUUCCUUGGUGGGUUCGCCCACCACUAGGACAAACAUAAACCUUUUGUAAUUGCAAUCAGCGUCAGUAACAAAUUAAUAAUUACAACUUUCAACAACGGAUCUCUUGGUUCUGGCAUCGAUGAAGAACGCAGCGAAAUGCGAUAAGUAGUGUGAAUUGCAGAAUUCAGUGAAUCAUCGAAUCUUUGAACGCACAUUGCGCCCUUUGGUAUUCCAAAGGGCAUGCCUGUUCGAGCGUCAUUUGUACCCUCAAGCUUUGCUUGGUGUUGGGCGUCUUGUCUCUAGCUUUGCUGGAGACUCGCCUUAAAGUAAUUGGCAGCCGGCCUACUGGUUUCGGAGCGCAGCACAAGUCGCACUCUCUAUCAGCAAAGGUCUAGCAUCCACUAAGCCUUUUUUUCAACUUUUGACCUCGGAUCAGGUAGGGAUACCCGCUGAACUUAAGCAUAU
rnacentral:rRNA from 1 species